GUCUAGCCCCGAUUGCAGUAAUUGUUUGAGCUCAUUUUAAUUUGUUUCGGCAGCGGCGGCUUUGCCGCCGCUGCCGAAACAAAUUAAAGUAGCGAGUGCGGAAAGCGGGAAAAGCU
rnacentral:sRNA from 1 species